rnacentral:rRNA from 1 species
CAGGCUUAAUACAUGCAAGUCGUGGGGCAGCAUGAGUAGCAAUACUUGAUGGCGACCGGCAAACGGGUGCGGAACACGUACGCAACCUUCCUUCAGGCGGGGAAUAGCCCAGAGAAAUUUGGAUUAAUACCCCAUAAAAUUUUGAGAUGGCAUCAUCUUAUUAUUAAAGCUUCGGCACCUGAUGAUGGGCGUGCGGCUGAUUAGGUAGUUGGCGGGGUAACGGCCCACCAAGCCUACGAUCAGUAGCUGAUGUGAGAGCAUGAUCAGCCACACGGGCACUGAGACACGGGCCCGACUCCUACGGGAGGCAGCAGUAAGGAAUAUUGGUCAAUGGACGCAAGUCUGAACCAGCCAUGCCGCGUGGAGGAUGAAGGUCCUCUGGAUUGUAAACUUCUUUUAUCUGGGACGAAAAAAGGGUUUUCUAACUCGUCUGACGGUACCAGAUGAAUAAGCACCGGCUAACUCCGUGCCAGCAGCCGCGGUAAUACGGAGGGUGCAAGCGUUAUCCGGAUUCACUGGGUUUAAAGGGUGCGUAGGCGGGCAUUUAAGUCAGUGGUGAAAUACCUGAGCUUAACUUGGG